rnacentral:RNase_P_RNA from 1 species
AGGGGAGGGCGGACGGUCGCCCCGGGGAAACCCGUGGGAGGAAAGUCCGGGCACCCCAGGGCUGGACGCCGGAGGAAACCUCCGGUUCCGGUAACGGAAAGAACGUGCCACAGAAAGGAAACCGCCGGAACCAGUUCCGGUAAGGGUGAAAGGGUGAGGUAAGAGCUCACCGGGGAUCGGGCAACCGGUCUCGCACGGCAAACCUCGUCCGGUGCAAGGCCAAGCAGGGGGGAAGGCCCUCGGGCCGGGGCGUUGCCCGCGCCCCCUGACCUCCGGGUUGGCCGCUAGAGGCCCCGGGCAACCGGGGUCCCAGACGGAUGACCGUCGGCACUCCUUUAUUAAGGGGUGCGCACAGAACCCGGCUUACAGCCCUCCCCUCUUU